rnacentral:rRNA from 1 species
GAUGAACGCUGGCGGCGUGCCUAAUACAUGCAAGUCGAGCGAACGGACGAGAAGCUUGCUUCUCUGAUGUUAGCGGAGGACGGGUGAGUAACACGUGGAUAACCUACCUAUAAGACUGGGAUAACUUCGGGAAACCGGAGCUAAUACCGGAUAAUAUUUUGAACCGCAUGGUUCAAAAGUGAAAGACGGUCUUGCUGUCACUUAUAGAUGGAUCCGCGCUGCAUUAGCUAGUUGGUAAGGUAACGGCUUACCAAGGCAACGAUGCAUAGCCGACCGGAGAGGGUGAUAGGCCACAUUGGAACGGAGACACGGUCCAGACUCCUACGGGAGGCAGCAGUAGGGAAUCUUCCGCAAUGGGCGAAAGCCUGACGGAGCAACGCCGCGUGAGUGAUGAAGGUCUUCGGAUCGUAAAACUCUGUUAUUAGGGAAGAACAUAUGUGUAAGUAACUGUGCACAUCUUGACGGUACCUAAUCAGAAAGCCACGGCUAACUACGUG